CCAGGAUCCAGGAUCUGUUAGUUCUAUUCAGCUAAGGGGUGGAAUCAUCAUGAAGGUGGUUUUCCAGGGUUUAGGACUCUGGAUAUGCGGAGUCAGUAUCAGACGACCAAUCACAAACAAGAUCAGGAAACAAGCAAUUUAAGAAGUUCAUGUAAGAGUUAAUAUUCUGAUCAGUAUCACAUUAAUAAGAUAGAAUGGGAUCUGACUAAUAAUUACAAUGAAACUUUAUGUAAUAGUGCCUUUAAGGCCGCUAUAGUCUUAUAUUAUAAAGCAGGGGUGUCAAACAUAUGGUCCGCGGGCCAAAUCUGGCCCAUCAAAGUGCCUAAUCCGGCCCUUUAGUGCAAAACUUACACUGAAGAUAAUUACAGCCAAGGGGGUCAAAACUCCAAAGUUUGUUUUGGGUUUAAUGU